GAGGGGUUUCUCGAACAAAAUGGGUACUUUCUGUUGAAUGAAAAGGGUGAUAAAAUGAAGGAGCAGCUUGGUGUUGUCCGAUCAAACUGCAUAGACUGCUUAGACCGUACAAAUGUCACCCAGAGCAUGAUAGGUCGAAAGAUGCUAGAACUUCAACUCAAAAGGAUCGGUGUUUUUGGUGCUGAAGAAACCAUAAGCUCACAUCUGAAUUUUGAUGAACGCUAUAAAAUAUUAUGGGCUAAUCAUGGUGAUGAAAUCAGCAUUCAGUACUCUGGUACUCCUGCACU